UUCGAUGAUACGCGAGGAACCGUUACCUGGGCUCAAAUGUAUGUUGACGUAUUCUGAAAGGGAUACUUCUUCGGACAAUAUACAAGGUGCUGCAUGGUUGUCGUCAGCUCGUGCCGUGAGGUGUCGGGUUAAGUCCCGCAACGAGCGCAACCCCUGCUGCCUGUUGCCACCACGAGAGGUGGGGACUCAGGCGGGACCGCCGGUGACAAACCGGAGGAAGGUGGGGACGACGUCAAGUCAUCAUGGCCCUUAUGUCCUGGGCUACACACGUGCUACAAUGGCCGGUACAGAGCGCAGCGAGGCCGCGAGGCGGAGCGAAUCGCUUAAAGCCGGUCCCAGUACGGAUUGGAGUCUGCAACCCGACUCCAUGAAGUUGGAAUCGCUAGUAAUCGCGCAUCAGCAUGGCGCGGUGAAUACGUUCCCGGGCCUU
rnacentral:rRNA from 1 species